rnacentral:rRNA from 1 species
CACGUAGUUAGCCGGGGCUUCUUAGUCAGGUACCGUCAUUAUCUUCCCUGCUGAUAGAGCUUUACAUACCGAAAUACUUCUUCACUCACGCGGCGUCGCUGCAUCAGGGUUCCCCCCAUUGUGCAAUGUUCCCCACUGCUGCCUCCCGUAGGAGUCUGGGCCGUGUCUCAGUCCCAAUGUGGCCGUUCACUCUCUCAAGCCGGCUACUGAUCGUCGCCUUGGUAAGCCGUUACCUUACCAACCAGCUAAUCAGACGCGGGUCCAUCCCAUAGCGAUAAAUCUUUCAAAACAGGACCAUGCCGGUCCCGCUUUCCCAUGCGGUAUUAGCAGCCGUUUCCAGCUGUUCGUCCCCCUCUAGUGGGGCACGGUUACCCACGUCGUUACCUCACCCCGUCCGCCACUCAGUCAUCCCAUAUGCCUUCCCUUCCCCAGCAAGCUGGUUCUGUCGUGCGGGUGGAUGCUUCGUUCGACUUGCAUGUGUUAGGCCUACGCCCGCAGUCGUU